rnacentral:rRNA from 1 species
UACGUAGGCAGCGAGCGUUGUUCGGAGUUACUGGGCGUAAAGGGUGUGUAGGCGGUUGUUUAAGUUUGGGGUGAAAUCUCCCGGCUCAACUGGGAGGGUGCGCCGAAUACUGAAUGACUUGGAGUGCGGGAGAGGAAAGUGGAAUUCCUGGUGUAGCGGUGAAAUGCGUAGAUAUCGUAAGGAAGACCAGUGGCGAAGGCGGGUCUCUGGACAGUUCCUGACGCUGAGGCACGAAGGUCAGGGGAGCAAACGGG